rnacentral:rRNA from 1 species
CUCAGGAUGAACGCUAGCUACAGGCUUAACACAUGCAAGUCGAGGGGCAUCAUGAGAUUAGCUUGCUAAUCUUGAUGGCGACCGGCGCACGGGUGAGUAACGCGUAUCCAACCUUCCCCUUAGUAGGGCAUAGCCCGGCGAAAGUCGGAUUAAUACCCUAUGUUGUCAAUAGAGGACAUCUGAAGCUGACUAAAGAUUAAUCGCUAAGGGAUGGGGAUGCGUCUGAUUAGCUUGUUGGCGGGUAACGGCCACCAAGGCGACGAUCAGUAGGGGUUCUGAGAGGAAGGUCCCCCACACUGGUACUGAGACACGGACCAGACUCCUACGGGAGGCAGCAGUGAGGAAUAUUGGUCAAUGGGCGUAAGCCUGAACCAGCCAAGUAGCGUGCCAGGAUGACGGCCCUAUGGGUUGUAAACUGCUUUUAUGCGGGGAUAAAGUCACCUACGUGUAGGUGUUUGUAGGUACCGCAUGAAUAAGGACCGGCUAAUUCCGUGCCAGCAGCAGC